rnacentral:rRNA from 1 species
UUCAGGACAGGAUCUAUUGGUUGGUAUAUUUGUACUAACCUUUAGCUUCCGCCUAAUCAGCCGCUUGUCAUUUUGGGUGCUCUUUAUCGGGUGCUCAGAAUACUCGGCACGUUUACUUUGAAAAAAUUAGAGUGCUCAAAGCAGGCCUUGUGCUUGAAUACUGUUGCAUGGAAUAAUGGAAUAGGACUUCGGUUCUAUUUUGUUGGUUUUCGGAAUCGAAGUAAUGAUUAAUAGAGACAGACGGGGGCAUCUGUAUGGUGGUGUUAGAGGUGAAAUUC